rnacentral:rRNA from 1 species
UUAAGCGACUAAGCGUACACGGUGGAUGCCCUGGCAGUCAGAGGCGAUGAAGGACGUGCUAAUCUGCGAUAAGCGUCGGUAAGGUGAUAUGAACCGUUAUAACCGGCGAUUUCCGAAUGGGGAAACCCAGUGUGAUUCGUCACACUAUCAUUAACUGAAUCCAUAGGUUAAUGAGGCGAACCGGGGGAACUGAAACAUCUAAGUACCCCGAGGAAAAGAAAUCAACCGAGAUUCCCCCAGUAGCGGCGAGCGAACGGGGAGCAGCCCAGAGCCUGAAUCAGUGUGUGUGUUAGUGGAAGCGUCUGGAAAGGCGCGCGAUACAGGGUGACAGCCCCGUACACAAAAAUGCACAUGCUGUGAGCUCGAUGAGUAGGGCGGGACACGUGGUAUCCUGUCUGAAUAUGGGGGGACCAUCCUCCAAGGCUAAAUACUCCUGACUGACCGAUAGUGAACCAGUACCGUGAGGGAAAGGCGAAAAGAACCCCGGCGAGGGGAGUGAAAAAGAACCUGAAACCGUGUACGUACAAGCAGUGGGAGCACGCUUAGGCGUGUGACUGCGUACCUUUUGUAUAAUGGGUCAGCGACUUAUAUUCUGUAGCAAGGUUAACCGAAUAGGGGAGCCGAAGGGAAACCGAGUCUUAACUGGGCGUUAAGUUGCAGGGUAUAGACCCGAAACCCGGUGAUCUAGCCAUGGGCAGGUUGAAGGUUGGGUAACACUAACUGGAGGACCGAACCGACUAAUGUUGAAAAAUUAGCGGAUGACUUGUGGCUGGGGGUGAAAGGCCAAUCAAACCGGGAGAUAGCUGGUUCUCCCCGAAAGCUAUUUAGGUAGCGCCUCGUGAAUUCAUCUCCGGGGGUAGAGCACUGUUUCGGCAAGGGGGUCAUCCCGACUUACCAACCCGAUGCAAACUGCGAAUACCGGAGAAUGUUAUCACGGGAGACACACGGCGGGUGCUAACGUCCGUCGUGAAGAGGGAAACAACCCAGACCGCCAGCUAAGGUCCCAAAGUCAUGGUUAAGUGGGAAACGAUGUGGGAAGGCCCAGACAGCCAGGAUGUUGGCUUAGAAGCAGCCAUCAUUUAAAGAAAGCGUAAUAGCUCACUGGUCGAGUCGGCCUGCGCGGAAGAUGUAACGGGGCUAAACCAUGCACCGAAGCUGCGGCAGCGACGCUUAUGCGUUGUUGGGUAGGGGAGCGUUCUGUAAGCCUGCGAAGGUGUGCUGUGAGGCAUGCUGGAGGUAUCAGAAGUGCGAAUGCUGACAUAAGUAACGAUAAAGCGGGUGAAAAGCCCGCUCGCCGGAAGACCAAGGGUUCCUGUCCAACGUUAAUCGGGGCAGGGUGAGUCGACCCCUAAGGCGAGGCCGAAAGGCGUAGUCGAUGGGAAACAGGUUAAUAUUCCUGUACUUGGUGUUACUGCGAAGGGGGGACGGAGAAGGCUAUGUUGGCCGGGCGACGGUUGUCCCGGUUUAAGCGUGUAGGCUGGUUUUCCAGGCAAAUCCGGAAAAUCAAGGCUGAGGCGUGAUGACGAGGCACUACGGUGCUGAAGCAACAAAUGCCCUGCUUCCAGGAAAAGCCUCUAAGCAUCAGGUAAUAUCAAAUCGUACCCCAAACCGACACAGGUGGUCAGGUAGAGAAUACCAAGGCGCUUGAGAGAACUCGGGUGAAGGAACUAGGCAAAAUGGUGCCGUAACUUCGGGAGAAGGCACGCUGAUAUGUAGGUGAAGUCCCUCGCGGAUGGAGCUGAAAUCAGUCGAAGAUACCAGCUGGCUGCAACUGUUUAUUAAAAACACAGCACUGUGCAAACACGAAAGUGGACGUAUACGGUGUGACGCCUGCCCGGUGCCGGAAGGUUAAUUGAUGGGGUCAGCGCAAGCGAAGCUCUUGAUCGAAGCCCCGGUAAACGGCGGCCGUAACUAUAACGGUCCUAAGGUAGCGAAAUUCCUUGUCGGGUAAGUUCCGACCUGCACGAAUGGCGUAAUGAUGGCCAGGCUGUCUCCACCCGAGACUCAGUGAAAUUGAACUCGCUGUGAAGAUGCAGUGUACCCGCGGCAAGACGGAAAGACCCCGUGAACCUUUACUAUAGCUUGACACUGAACAUUGAGCCUUGAUGUGUAGGAUAGGUGGGAGGCUUUGAAGUGUGGACGCCAGUCUGCAUGGAGCCGACCUUGAAAUACCACCCUUUAAUGUUUGAUGUUCUAACGUUGACCCGUGAUCCGGGUUGCGGACAGUGUCUGGUGGGUAGUUUGACUGGGGCGGUCUCCUCCUAAAGAGUAACGGAGGAGCACGAAGGUUGGCUAAUCCUGGUCGGACAUCAGGAGGUUAGUGCAAUGGCAUAAGCCAGCUUGACUGCGAGCGUGACGGCGCGAGCAGGUGCGAAAGCAGGUCAUAGUGAUCCGGUGGUUCUGAAUGGAAGGGCCAUCGCUCAACGGAUAAAAGGUACUCCGGGGAUAACAGGCUGAUACCGCCCAAGAGUUCAUAUCGACGGCGGUGUUUGGCACCUCGAUGUCGGCUCAUCACAUCCUGGGGCUGAAGUAGGUCCCAAGGGUAUGGCUGUUCGCCAUUUAAAGUGGUACGCGAGCUGGGUUUAGAACGUCGUGAGACAGUUCGGUCCCUAUCUGCCGUGGGCGCUGGAGAACUGAGGGGGGCUGCUCCUAGUACGAGAGGACCGGAGUGGACGCAUCACUGGUGUUCGGGUUGUCAUGCCAAUGGCACUGCCCGGUAGCUAAAUGCGGAAGAGAUAAGUGCUGAAAGCAUCUAAGCACGAAACUUGCCCCGAGAUGAGUUCUCCCUGACCCUUUAAGGGUCCUGAAGGAACGUUGAAGACGACGACGUUGAUAGGCCGGGUGUGUAAGCGCAGCGAUGCGUUGAGCUAACCGGUACUAAUGAACCGUGAGGCUUAACCU